AUUGAACGCUGGCGGCAGGCCUAACACAUGCAAGUCGAACGAGUGGCGGACGGGUGAGUAAUGUCUGGGAAACUGCCUGAUGGAGGGGGAUAACUACUGGAAACGGUAGCUAAUACCGCAUACCAUCGGAUGUGCCCAGAUGGGAUUAGCUAGUAGGGGGGGUAAAGGCUCACCUAGGCGACGAUCCCUAGCUGGGCGGAGAGGAUGACGGGCCACCCUGGUGCGUAUAAACGUUCCAGACUCCGACGGUGGGCAGCAGUGGGGAAUAUUUCAAAAUGCGGGCACGCCUGAUGCAGCCAUGCCGAGUUUUUGAUGAAGGUCGUCGGGUUGUGAAGUACUUGCGGCGGGGAGGCGUUUCCCGCUGCAGAAGCACCGGCUAACUCCGUGUCAGCCGCCGCGGUAAUAC
rnacentral:rRNA from 1 species